CCUCCUGCAACAAUGGAUUUUAGCGCCUGCAUCUCAUCCCCUCCCCAGCCCUCUGCUGCUGCAGUCCCCACGGGUUUGGCUGCAAGCCCUGGGAAACGAGACCUUUCCCAACAAAGGUCCUUUCCGAUGAGAAAAAAUCCCAAGCCUUUCCCAAUGGGUGUAGCCGUCUGCUUCAGGGGAAGCAGGACCAUUCGUUGGCUGUGGGAAAAUAUUCCUUUCCUGCAGCUUGGCAGGCGGUGACAGGGCUGUAUGAAAUCUCUGGCACAUCCCAGACUGGGACCUGUGGCGAGGAGAAGCCAGGUGAUUCUCUGCCUGAAACACAAGAAGCGGAAGAGGUUUUUCAAGCAAGAUAAAAUGAAAGGAAGCCUAUUUUUCCCCAGGUCAGCAGACCCUGCUGGGCUGGCCAGUGGCACUGGAGGAAACAGCAAUGGGCACUGACUCCAGAGGAUGCAGGGAAGGAGUCACGGUUUUGGAACCUUCCUGGCCACAUGUUGGAACAGCCUGAGCAACCUUGCCUCUGGCCAGCGAUCUCCCAUCCCCAUCUACACUGGGUUUGACCAGAAGAGAGAUUGACCAUCCUAGAACCUACCAGAAACACGAGAAAAACCUGCUGGAAACAUUAAAGAAGCCCCCAAAAUAGCACCUGAAACCAAUAAACUUCCCUUUCAGGAACUUCUGUAAUUUGAAACACAUACGAGAACAAAAAAAAAAAAUCCAG